rnacentral:lncRNA from 1 species
UUGAACUCAUUAGCCCAAAAUUCAUACCUUUUCAAUUUAAACCUAGACUUAGACCUAUAAAAAUAUCUAGAUCUAGCGAACAAGAGCAUACAAUCUUAGCCCCAAAAAAAAAAAAAAGAGAAGAGGGCUCUCAUCUCCUUCCUCUUCUACUCUCCCUAACACGCGCACACACAGAUCUAACACACAUUAGAGGCUAAGAUCAGAAGCUUCCCAUUUCAAAAAAAAAAAAAAAAAAAAGAUCCAAAGACCAGCAGCCGAAUCUGGUCCACCUCUCUCACUCAUUGUGGUUCAAAAGCACACGGAAAAGCACUCUCGAAUUAGGUGCAAACAAAAUUUGAAAUUCCUCUGGCUUUGGGUGUUGAUUCAUGGUUUUCUGAAGAGUAUUACUGAUGUUUCUCUCUGCUGUGGAUUUGAGCUUGUUUUGCUGUCCUCGGAUUUUUCUUUUAGUUUAUCUUUUGUCGAUCUCUGUAUUCCUCUUUGAGUUUACAUGAAUAAUUGAUUGAAACUACCGCUAAAUUUGGUGCAUUAAUCCUGUCAAAUUCAGUUACUGGAUUUAUGAGUUUGGUAAUGUUUCUUGAUGCUAUUUUCGUCUCAUUUGAGAUAAUUUAUUUAAUUUCAGCUAUGCAAAUUCUUUGUGCAUCAUGAAACCACAUUUAUGUAUUGAUGCUUGCUAAUUGUAUACAUAGUUGAAGUUAAAAAGGCCAUUUACUCGUUUGAAUACUUUCUCUAGUUCAAUUUAGUACAGAAAAAUGGUGUGAUUAAAAAGAGAUGUUACAUUUCAAUUUAGUUCACUUCUUUCUGCCAUAAUUCCGAUUCUGGGAGCGCGC